CCACUGCACGUGCACACUGCACGUGCACACGGGCGUGCGUGCUGUAGCUCGUGCGCUGUAGGAACCCAGGUGCUCCGGGCCCUUCACGCACGCCGCCCCACCCCCAACUUCAGAAUGCUCCAGUGCGCAGCUGUGUGUCUUUCUCCGUCCACGAGCAAUUAGCGGAGUGCCGGAAAGCACGGUGGCCUGUGGGAAGGCUGCCUUUUCCAAGAAAGGACCUGCGUCAACAUGGAGACCUAGGACCUAGAAGCCUCAUUCUGCAGUAAACUUCUCCAGACCAUCUCUUAUUGGUCAGGAUGUGGUCUUGACCUUCAAAGCAGGUAGUAAGGACAAUAAAUGUUGAAGUUUCAGUGAUGAUUUGCAUCAGGCACCUUCCAAAUGGGUCUAACUACACUUGAAAACAGCAAGGAACUUCUGGGGGGAUUUAUCUCCUUGCAGUGGCUACACAAAAUAUCUAAUUAUAUGAAGUAUUGCCAUACCUGAAUCUCAUUAUUGUCCAGAGGCAUUCCUUCAUCAAUCUAUCCUCAUAUUCUUAACCUUGUGAUACAAAACAUUGCUUCACUUUACUUGAAAAGGGUGGAAGGGCUCCGGUAUAGUCAACGUCCUACCAGUUGUUGUGACAGGUGCUCAAGGAGUGCAGUUCUGGGAAUCAGCAUUGAUUGUUGUUGCUGGCAAGUUGGACACAUUGUAAUAGCACUUCGGAAGUGUGAUACAACAUCAUGUAAUAGUACAGAUUCUGUCUUAGCCUGCAAGAAGGAAGUCUGUUGGAAUUCUGUCUGUGGAAGUCUAUGGAAAUUCUGAAGCUAACUUGAAUGCCUUCUGGUGCCUAUAUUAUGUUAUUAAUCACUUCAGCGUUUGGUGAUGAGUAUGGAAUCUGAAGGUGACUGCUCAAGGUCUGCAGGAAGGAGGUGCACGCAGAAAGCAUCCACUGACCUUUCUGAGUUCACUGUUCCUCUCAUCAUCACCAAUGGUCAUGGGUAAGUCAGUCUCGGAUUUGAGCUCCCUUGUGUGCAGCUCUCCGAUCCAAACAAACUUCAUUGAAAAGUUGUUGUUCCCAUCCAAGUACUAAUCAGGCGCGUCCCUGCUUAGCUUCUGAGAUCAGAUAAGAUCGGGUGCAUUCAGGGUGGUAUGUUCCCAGAAAGGUUCUGAGGUAGUUACAUGGGGAGUCUGAAAUGGUACCAAACAUUAGGGUACAUACAGAAUCUCAAGGUAAGUCCACAGCAUAAACACCUGGGGAACUUGAGAAAAUAAAGACAAGAAAUCUGAAGUGUUUUGAUCAUCAUAUUCAAAAUCAAAGUAGGUGCAAAUUGGACUAGUAAAAAGCCAUUGAGGCAUCAGCCACUAUAUAGAAAUCUCUAGUGAUUAGGUAUACUAUAUGUAUGACUAAUGGGAAUCUCAGAAGCCAGAGUUGCAAAAUUUCUGUGCAUGGGUUGAGCACAUAAAUGCUAUUAGAAUGCUUGCCACCUACUGUAAGACUCCGAUUCUGUCAUAAGUUGGCCACAGAAUGGGAUAUAUUGACACUAGCUUAACUACCAAACUCAAGAAAAUUUCUAUGCAAUGAGGUAAUACCGUAAAUACCACAAAUUUCCCAGCCCAUGACACAUCCAUCUUAGGUAUUAAUAUGGCUCUGAAAUACCCCAGUUUAGCUGAAAACAUGGGAUCCUCAAUUUCAAAGAAAUGACAGUGUCACCUUGUGGAAUACCUGUUUAUUUUGUGUCCAAGAACUGUCAUCCUAGAAACAGUGGACACUUACAAAAAUGGUAAAAUCUUACUAAGACUACCUAGAAUUAACAGUGGUCAUUGUGGGGAUCAUUUGUAUUAGAUAAGAUUGUUCCCUUGUGAAGUUCUCUUGAAAACAGGGUCCCCCAAAUUAAACAAACAGAAUAGCAUACUGAUUUUAUUUGGCAUGCAGAAAGCUCCAAAAGACUUCAGUAUUCCAAAAUACUUUCAUUGAAAGAUUUAUUUGAAGAUUGUUUGAAAAAUUAAAGACACAAGAGGUACUUCAAACAAACUGUAGGACUGAUGUGAUUCUUACUAUUCCCCUCUAUACUCCUUUACUUGAGUACUCAGUCUACUAAUCUCAAAGAGUCUACUAAUCUCAAAGAGAUAUUGAAGAGACCACAAGACUGUAAAUUAAUAUGCUCCCAAGUUAGUGGCCUAACAAAUGCAACAGCUCCUAGGUCAGAAACCUAAAGCAAAACCAGAGUCUUCCCUGUUACACCCUCCUGGGGAGUUCAUCAUCAAAACACUGGCCCAAAACUUGUGGUCUUAUUCCCAGUCAGUUAAGACACUGGAAAAGAGAUUGUCUCCCAAGGUUUUGUACAAGUCCUUUGACACUGAUUCAGAUGCCCCCAUAUCUAUUCUCAAAGGAGGACCUUCAUAUGGCGCCCCCCCCCCCCCGGGUAGAUGGAACCCCAAGGGAUUCUCCAGUAAACUCCCAACAAUUAUUCCCUUAAACAGCCAAGAGAAAACAAAAAUUUAAAUUAAUGGAAAACCUUUCCAAAUUCUGGUAGAUACGCUGGGACUACACUCUACUAAACCCUACUCAUUUGGAAGCCUGUGGUUUGUCUCACUUUGUGUUUUGAGAACAUUGGCUUUCUGCCUGCAUGAGGCUUUCAGGUUUUCUGUUGUGUCAUAUAUGCAGACAGCUCAACUGUCAGGUUGGAGGUCUGAAAGUAUGGCUGGACAAAAAUGUAUGUUGUACUUCAUUUGUGUCUCGGGCUCUAUGGACUUGCCAGCUCUCAGGGGAAUUGUCGAGGUCUUUUUUUCUCCCCCUUUUGGGCUAUUUUUAGCAGUGGCACUGGAUAUUGGUAAGAUAGCUAUCUUUGUAUCUUUUGUGAUUUCUGUUACAUACUUUGUCAGCACGAAGGAUAGCUUAAGAAUAUAAUUAGCUAUUUGAUUUCUCAUGAAACUUUAUAAGAGCAGCAUAAGUGUUAACAGGUAAAUAGAUAUUAGUAAGAGAAAAGUUUAUAAAUGAACUUAUUAAUAAGAAUUAUACUCCAUGGUAUGUCUAGUUAAAAAUAGGUUCCAGGGAUGCCUGGGUGGCAUAGUGGGUUAAACGUCCAGCUCUUGAUUCUGGCUCAGGUCAUGAUCCUAGCUAGGG